ACCAAAGAGGGUGGUUUCUUCUCGCUAAGCCUCAGAAUAGCACGUUGCAGAAUGGCUGCCUACCAUUGGGAAGCGCGCCGCAGGCAGAUAAUAAUGGAACACCGGUUGCGACUGAUGCAGGAGAGCAGAAUCUCUGAAGAAAGUCAGCAGCAAGUUUCAAAGGAGAGCACCCAAAAUUCCAAUGUCCUUUUGUGCUCCAACAUGACGCCUCAGAAUUUGCCACAGAAAGAGAUCACACAGGAUCGUUGCCUAUGCCAGACAGAGCAUGUUCCAAGUCAAAGCGGUAAACUACUCAAAAGAUACACGGUAAGAUGACAGAGGUAAAGGAUGGGUUUUUCUUCCCUUCAUGGAAAAUCUGCUGCUGGAAACCUAUUUAUCCCCAGAUCUGAAAUGGGACCCAUUUCAGUCUAGUUCAGGAAUGCUGCAAUUUUUUUAAAGUGCUAUUGGAUAACCUAGAUAUUCAGCUUUCUUUAUGACCUUUACUUCCCAUAUAAAGGGAACAUGCCUGCUUCCCUGUUGUCCAUCUGCUUCAGGAUUUUUCUUUCUAGAAUAGUGCUCACAACCUCCCUGACCCAUUUCAUAACCGAAUCCUGGCUGAAGUUUUAAAUGCACCUUGAAGCCUAAUAAUGUAAAUGGGAACAAAAGGCAUGUUGUUGCCAAAGUCCACAUGACCGCACAAAUAGCAAUAGCUAUAGCAACAGCAAUAGCACAGACUUAUAGAUCACUCCACAGUGCUUUGCAGCAUUCUCUGGGCAGUUUAUAGUGUCAACAUAUUGCUCAAAACAAUCUGGGUCCCCAUUUUACCAACCUCAGAAGGAUAGAAGGUUUGCGCCCCGUCAGGACUGAACUCCAGGCUAUGGAGAAUACUACCUUUUAUCCACUAUGCCAACAGAUAGGUGUUGCUGUAAAGCUCAAUGGAUUUGUCUGCACCAAACGUUAGGUGGGAUAUUAAUGCAACUUGCCUUUCUGUUCCUCUGACUGGCAUGUCUUUGGCUUUGGGUAGGAUGGGGUGCGGUGUUGAAUUAGGGAUUAAUGAGCUAUAUUUUCUCUUCUAGUCUUUAGACUACAUACAACAGUGGUAACAACAAUACAGCUGAAAACUGUAUGGAGAAAUGUUGUUCUGUAACUGCUGCAGGACAAAAUGCCGCACGUCUGAGCUGAAAAGUCUGCCAGAGCGUACAGUGAAGAUUAAUCUUUCGGGAAGUCUUCUAAUAAAAGUUCUCUGGAGUCACAGAUCCACAGUGCCUGCCUUUGUGUGAAACUUUGCUAUGACCUCUCCCCACUUUUCUGCCUGAAACUUUUAGCCACAGCCCAAACUGGCCUGUUAUCUCUUUUGUUUUGGGGAACAGGUUUGAAAAAGACUGGGAAAGAAUCUGGUAGGACAGAUUUAAGUUGUCAUGCUAAGCCUUUUAGCACUGCUGAGACAUUGCUAUUCUGUAAUUUUCCAUGAAACUAAAACAGAAAUUAAAAACAGAAGCAGGCUUUUAUCCAGAAAAAUCCUUCCCCAUUUCCAUUUCUAGGCUUUCACCAAGAAAUCCAGCUGAACGAAUUUUGUAACUGAUCCCACCC